GCGGCUAUCGUAUAAUGGCAUUACCCAAGCUUCCCAAGCUUGUGAUGCGGGUUCGAUUCCCGCUAGCCGCU
rnacentral:tRNA from 1 species